CAAAAUGAGAGUGUAGCCAUUGAUUAUCUCUUUAAAGUACGGUAAAGGGAAGAUGACACAGGUACACAGAGAAGGAAUGUUCAAACAUUCACAUAUCAUCAUUUGGUGUGUAUAAAUGGACAUCUGCCUUAGUUUCUGAAACCUGGGACCAUGGAAACUGACCAUUUUUGUUUUGUUUUUGUUUUGUUUUUGUUUUGUCAUGUGAUGCUACUAUGGUAUUACCAUAUUAUUAGUAAGUGGUCUGUAUGGUGCCAUAUUUGUGAGUCAAAUUCUCUCUGAAAUGAAUAAAGAACCGAACACCAGCAUUUGAGGUGUUGCUAAUGACAUUGCCGGCUACGUUUGGACAAGGAACUGGCCAUUGUAAAAUAUAGUUAUUUUAGAUAUUCAAUUUUUAAUUUUUCAAUUUAUCAUAAUUCAUAUUCUGAGGGUUGUUGUAUUCCAAGCUGAUUGUGUAAUAUGUAGAGCCAGAAAAGAGCUUUCAAACAAUACCACAGGCAUCUUUUUGUGACUAACACUGACUGAUAUAUUCAAGGCUGAUUGUAUAGUGUCCUACCCUAAAAUGUGAACCUUUCCUAGUCUGUUUCUCCCUUAAUAUUAGUGUCAGAUUCAAACCAAUGCAGUUCUGGGGUGCUACCUUGCUACUAAAAAGGCACACCAAGUAUGAUUGAAAUCCGGAUCGGUCGGGUCCCAAAGCGUCUGAUUUCACGUAUAAUGACCCCGUUACGCAUACUGAAAAUAAGAGGUCCAAAUUCAUAGCGCAACGGGCCAUAUACCUAUAACGCAAGUUUGCGCUAUAGAACCUUGACAGACUGUAGCGGAAACCCUGAGUUAUAAUUGUUUUGCUGAUCUUCUUAAAUGUUUGUCAAAUCUAAGAUUUUUCUUUUUUCUAAGAUUGGAGGUAUUGGUGUCAGGCAGGAGUCAGCUGCGUUACUUUCCACAGAUGUGGCCAGUGCUAGGCGGUGUAUGAAGAGGCCGUGGACGCAGGAGGAGACUGAUGCGGUCUUCAAACACAUGAACGUUUUUAUUGAAAAUGGGUUGACAGUUACUAAGGAGUAGUGCAAUUAUUGCAAGAAUAAAGAAGCUCCUAUCCUGGACAACAGAACUCUAAUGAACAUCAGGGACUUUGUUUGGCCUUUGGCUUGGCCUUUAAAAGGAACUUGAAGGAGAAGCAUUAAAGGAUGACUUCUGCCAAUUUCAGUAUGCUGUUGCCCACUAAUGUAUUUUAUGUAGAUUUAAACAAAAAUGGGCAUGUACAGUGAGUUCAAUAAGUAUUUGAGACCUUGCUAAUUUUGCUGGUUUGCCCACUAAUAAAGACAUGAUCAGUCUAUAAAUGUAAUGAUAAUAUGUAUUCUAACAUGGAGAGACAUGUUAAAUUUCCCUAGAUGGACGUUUCAUCCACUUGUUCCCAGUAGAUACCCCAAUCUUUAUUACACAUUUCCAGAGCUACAGUGGUGUUUACUCUUUCAAAAGCAUGAUCACAACCCAAACUACCCAAAUGACCCUGUUCAAAAGCAUGAUCACAACCCAAACUACCCAAAUGACCCUGUUCAAAAGUUUACAUACCCUAGUUUUCUGAUGCUGAGUAUGGCCCUGUUUAACAUCAGGGACCGCUCUAAAUUGUUUGUGGUAGUUGUGGAUAAGGCUCUUAAUGUUCUCAGAUGACAAAACAGCACAUUCUUCCUGGCAGAAUGGUUGUUUCCUAUAAUAUUUUUGGGUGUCUUGCUGGAACCUCGCAUUUGAGGUUUCCCCUGAAUGGCUCAAUGAUGUUGAGAUCAGGAGAGUGAGACGGUCGCUCAAAAUUUUCAUUUUAUUCUUUCUGAAGCUAAUGGCGGGUUGAUUUGGCUUUCUGUGUUGAAAUAUUGUCAUGUUGGCAUGUCCAAACAAUGGACCAUGUGCAGUUUCAAGGCUGAUGUGUGUCAAGUUUCCUCCAGUAUUUUUCACAGGGCAAUGUAUUCAUCAUUCUGCGAGUAUGGAUCAAAAGUAUAGUGCAUUUGUAACUCAAAUGUCCCCAUGACAUCAG